rnacentral:rRNA from 1 species
AAAACGACUCUCGGCAACGGAUAUCUCGGCUCUCGCAUCGAUGAAGAACGUAGCGAAAUGCGAUACUUGGUGUGAAUUGCGGGAAUCCCGUGAACCAUCGAGUCUUUGAACGCAAGUUGCGCCCCAAGCCUUCUACGGCCGAGGGCACGUCUGCUGGGUGUCACAA